GUAUUAAAUUUAGUACGGUUUGAUUUAUUAUUUAGUUAUUAUUUAUUUUUUUUUAUAAUUUUUAUUGGAAGUGACAGUUGUUUUAUUAAAAUUUUGAAUAAAUUUUAUUUAAUUAUAGUUUAUUAGUAUUGUGAAAGAAUUUGGUUUUUAUUUUAAAAGGAAGUUUUAUUUACUGUACCUUGUGUCUCAGGGUCGAUUAAUUAAAAUUUAUAUAUUUAUUUUUCUCGAAUUUAGAAGAGCUACAAUAUUAUAUUUUUUAUUGUUUAAUAAAUAUUAUAAAUAAUGUUGUAGGAGUGAGAUGCUAUUCGAUUCUAAGUAUAUCUGGUUUUCAAAGAAAUUUUUUUAAUUUAUUUUUCAUUAAAUAUUUAUUAUUAUUUUAUAUUUUAAAUAUUGUUGAAAUUAUAGGGUAGAUGGGAUGAGCUUUUUAUCUAAUUUAUAAAAUAUGUGUUUAUAUUAAUCUUAGAAGUAGGAAUUAAAGUUUCUUUCUUAAUAGUGUUUUAUAACAAGCUAGGUUCAUUUAUUAUUUUUAUUUUAUUUAUUUUGUUUAUUUGAUUAAUUAUUUUAAUUGUUUAAAUUAUUAAAUAAUGAUUGAAUUAGUAAAAUUUUUUAUUUUUUGUUUAAAUAUUUGUUAGUUGAGAUUAAGGAACUCGGCAAAUAUGUUUUUUACCUGUUUAUUAAAAACAUGUCUUUUAGUUUAUUAUUUAAGGUCUGGCCUGCCCAAUGAUUUUAUUUAAUGGCCGCGGUAUUUUGACCGUGCAAAGGUAGCAUAAUCAUUAGUUUCUUAAUUAGAAGCUGGAAUGAAGGGUUGGAUAAGAAAACUUCUGUCUCUUUUUUAUUGUUAUUGAAUUUUAUUUUUGAGUAAAAAAGCUUAAAUGGUUGAUGAAGACGAGAAGACCCUAUAGAGUUUUAGAUUUGUUUAAUUUAUUUUAAUUAGGAUUUUAUUAUAUAUAGGUUAAGUGUAUCUUUGGUUGGGGUGACUGAGAAAUUUAAUUAACUUUCUUUUUAUUUUUACAUUGAUUUAUGAUUAUUUGAUCCUUUUUUUUAGAUUAUAAGAAUAAAUUACCUUAGGGAUAACAGCGUUAUUAUUUUUUAGAGUUCUAAUCGAUAAAAUAGUUUGCGACCUCGAUGUUGGAUUAAAAUUUUACCUUGGUGUAGAGGCUUGGGCUUUAGGUCUGUUCGACCUUUAAAAUUUUACAUGAUCUGAGUUUAAACCGGUGUGAGCCAGGUUGGUUUCUAUCUCUUUUUAUUUUAAAAUGUUUUAGUACGAAAGGACCAAACAUUGUUUUUAUAAAUUAAGUUUUUGAAUAUUAGUAUUGUUUUGGCAGAAUAGUGUUUUAGAUUUAGAAUCUUUUUAUAUAGGGAUAUCCC
rnacentral:rRNA from 1 species